rnacentral:rRNA from 1 species
UACGUAGGAUGCGAGCGUUGUCCGGAAUCAUUGGGCGUAAAGAGCGCGUAGGCGGUCCGGUAAGUCCGCUCUGAAAGUCCGGGGCUCAACCCCGGGAGGCGGGCGGAUACUGUCGGGCUAGAGUCCGGAAGAGGCGAGUGGAAUUCCUGGUGUAGCGGUGAAAUGCGCAGAUAUCAGGAGGAACACCGAUGGCGAAGGCAGCUCGCUGGGACGGUACUGACGCUGAGGCGCGAAAGCGUGGGGAGCAAACAGG